UGGCACUCGCUCGUGCAGGUUAUGACUAUGCCGUAGGUGACGUGCGGAAAGGUGACCAAAGAGUACAUGAAGAAUUCUUGCUAUCAACUAGGGCUGGAUGCCCCCAGGAAGAAUGCCUCAAAGCAGGAAAGGAGAUCAGAGUUCAGGGCAUGUUCAGCUCCACCCAUGCAUCAAGGGAAAUAUAUACGACGCAAAUGAUAACGUGUUCUGCUAGAUGACAUAGUACAAGGUUCAGCAGCGACGACAUGAUCUCAAACAUGCCACUGGCACCUAUACUAAACUUGAUUUGUUCUCUCAAUAUGGAGUGUUAAUCUUCUCCUCUGCAUAGUACAAAUAUUCCCUUAGCUCUAAGGAUAUAGACAUGGUGAGUUUGGUUGGAGGAAAUAAGAAUGAUUUAUAAAAGUAAUAAAAGGGAGAUAAUGCUGCUUGAUGUGUAUGGGGAUUCUGAAGAUAUAUAUGAUUGAUACUUUCCCUGCAUGAUAUAGAUUAGUCGA